GAUCCUACGGGGGGCAGCAGUGGGGAAUAUUGCACAAUGGGGGAAACCCUGAUGCAGCGACGCCGCGUGAGUGAAGAAGUAUUUCGGUAUGUAAAGCUCUAUCAGCAGGGAAGAUAAUGACGGUACCUGAGUAAGAAGCCCCGGCUAACUACGUGCCAGCAGCCGCGGUAAUACGUAGGGGGCAAGCGUUAUCCGGAUUUACUGGGCGUAAAGCGAGUGCAGGCGGUUCAAUAAGUCUUAU
rnacentral:rRNA from 1 species